GGGAUUUCAAGGGAUUAAGCUAAUAAAGGUGGUGAGCCUUCUAACAAGGGUAAAGAGAUUGUGCUCGAAGACCAAGAAUAGAAGCCCGAGAUAGCCUGUGGACAUCAGAUAUUGUCAAGGAUUAUAGUCGACUUUACUACUCCAAAAACUGUAGGUUUACUGGCUUUGUGCACUUUUGUUCCUUGUGGGCCCAUGAGUCCCUGUAAAGUAAAUUUCAUAUCCCGGUUAUCUGUAUUAUAGGAGGUAUGAAUUUUUUUAGCUUUUACAUUACAAAAA